UGUAGUGUCCUCCUUGGAAUGCUGCCCUUUUUAGGUUUGAAUUAAGGUGGAAGUUAAGUUUACAGCGCACAAGGCGAUGAUCUGUUUGGCAUUCUGCACUAGACAUCACGCAGGUGUGACGAACAUCGCGGAUAUCUCUCUGUCGGACCAAGAUAUAAUCAAUGAGGUGCCAGUGCUUGGACCUAGGAUGCAUCCAGG